GGAAUAUGGCUCAAGUGGUAACGCGCUCGCCUGGUAUGCGUGGGGUGCUGGGUUCCAUACUCAGUACCA
rnacentral:tRNA from 1 species